rnacentral:rRNA from 1 species
CAGCAGUGGGGAAUAUUGCACAAUGGGCGCAAGCCUGAUGCAGCCAUGCCGCGUGUAUGAAGAAGGCCUUCGGGUUGUAAAGUACUUUCAGCGGGGAGGAAGGGAGUAAAGUUAAUACCUUUGCUCAUUGACGUUACCUGCAGAAGAAGCACCGGCUAACUCCGUGCCAGCAGCCGCGGUAAUACGGAGGGUGCAAGCGUUAAUCGGAAUUACUGGGCGUAAAGCGCACGCAGGCGGUUUGUUAAGUCAGAUGUGAAAUCCCCGGGCUCAACCUGGG